rnacentral:lncRNA from 1 species
UUCAAUAGAAUCGGUGCUUAAAUGAUGCUCCUUCGAGCUCCAUCAAAUUAUCGCGGUCACGAGCACAUCGCCGGCGGCGACCCCGCGCGAGUUGCAUGCUGAUCAUUAAGAAAUUCGCCGGUGGUUGCCCCUGAAAGCGAGAUCUAAUCGUCCAUCGGUGGCUCCCCCUCCAGGCCUCCACGGACUACCGGUUGUUUCAUGGCAAACCAGCCAACCAGGCGAAUCAAAGAUGGGCCCAUGCAUUAUGCAUCGUUUGAUGAGAGCUUUGAAAGACGAUCGGCCUCCG